rnacentral:lncRNA from 1 species
AGUUACUGCCACCCUCUCCCAGGUCUAGAGAGGGGUACCCACGGUGGAGGGAGGUGGGAGGCCGAGACGGCCCCGGGGGUCGGCGGAGACCCAGCGGGAGCAGGGGGAAAUCGGAAGAGCUGGGGGCAUGGAGCGGGCGAGUUUGGAGCGGAAUGAGCCGGGAGCCCUACGUUGUGGAAGGAAGACAACAGUAUAGGACCAUCAGCAGGACCGGACAGAGAGGGGCACCCCUGGCUGUCCUGGAACUUGUAGACCAGGCUGGCCUUGAACUCAGAAAUCCGCCUGCCUCUGACUCCCGAGUGCUGAGAUUAAAGGUGUGCACCACCACACCCGACAAGGAAGCCUGUUUUAAGAAGUGAUUCCAUGGAGGAGUUCUGCGGCGGCUCAGGGCUUGACUAAACAGUGGACCUCAGGGUCCCAUUUCUCUCAGUAGACAAGAGAGGCUAAACCAGGCUGCAGGUGACAGGAAGAAUUGAAUAAACUGAAAGCAAAGGGCAGCCUUCUAAUUACGCUUCGUGGCUAUGUGGACAACCUGGAGAAGUCUGGAAACCUUUCCUCCUCCAUUUUACUACUUGAGGGAGCAGUGGGUGGGAUACUAGAAAGAAGCCAGAAGCCCGAAGCCAGCAGUAGAGCUCUGACUGGCUUGUAUGCCUAGAAAGGAAGGGCUCUUCUUUCGCCUCACGGGCACAAAUGGGACCCACGAGCGCCGAUUUCAGACUAUUCUGAUCCCUUCAAAAAGAAAGUUAGGAGUCCAGGCUACUGUGAGUGAAUUUGAUUCUAAUUGUUUCAGAGAAUAUGGAAUAAAAUAUCUCAUUUGCA